CCUACGGGAGGCUGCAGUGAGGAAUAUUGGUCAAUGGCCGCGAGCCUGAACCAGCCAAGUCGCGUGAGGGAGGACGGCCCUACGGGUUGUAAACCUCUUUUGCCGGGGAGCAACGGGCGUCACGUGUCGCGCCACUGGGAUUCCCCGGAGAAAAAGCUUCGGCUACCUCCGUGCCAGCAGCCGCGUUAAUACGGGGGAUGCGAGCGUUAUCCGGAUUUAUUGGGUUGAAGGGUUGCGUAGGCGGAGCGGUAAGUCAGUGGUAAAAUUGAGGGGCUAAACCCCUUCCCGCCAUUGAAACUGGGGUUCUUGAGUGGGAGAGAAGUAUGCGGAAUGCGUGGUGUAGCGGUGAAAUGCAUAGAUAUCACGCAGAACCCCGAUUGCGAAGGCAGCGUGCCGGCUUCCGACUGACGCUGAUGCACGAAAGCGUGGGGAUCGAACAGGAUUAGAUACCCGAGUAGUC
rnacentral:rRNA from 1 species